rnacentral:misc_RNA from 1 species
AAAGAAAUAUAUUUUCCUUUAUAUAGGGUUUAUAUGUACAUCUCUUUAAGCAAUAAAAUAUUUUAUUUUAAAAUUUGAUGAAAUUAUAUUGAGCCAAAUUUAGUCAAUUAAAUAUAAUUAUUAUAGCUAAAAUUACAUAAUUCUGUAAUUUUUUUUUUAAUCUUUAAAUUGAAAGAAACAUGGAAUCCAUUAAUGAUGCCAUAUCAAUAGUUAUCCGAACUAAUUUUAAGCAUAGAUUAAAAUUGCAAUCAAUCUUUAAUACUGG